rnacentral:rRNA from 1 species
UGGGGAAUAUUGCACAAUGGGCGCAAGCCUGAUGCAGCCAUGCCGCGUGUAUGAAGAAGGCCUUCGGGUUGUAAAGUACUUUCAGCGGGGAGGAAGGGAGUAAAGUUAAUACCUUUGCUCAUUGACGUUACCCGCAGAAGAAGCACCGGCUAACUCCGUGCCAGCAGCCGCGGUAAUACGGAGGGUGCAAGCGUUAAUCGGAAUUACUGGGCGUAAAGCGCACGCAGGCGGUUUGUUAAGUCAGAUGUGAAAUCCCCGGGCUCAACCUGGGAACUGCAUCUAAUACUGGCAAGCUUGAGUCUCGUAGAGGGGGGUAGAAUUCCAGGUGUAGCGGUGAAAUGCGUAGAGAUCUGGAGGAAUACCGGUGGCGAAGGCGGCCCCCUGGACAAAGACUGACGCUCAGGUGCGAAAGCGUGGGGGGCAAACAGG